GGUGGCUCAGUGGUAGAGUGCUUGCCUUGCAUGCAUGAGGCCCUGGGUUCGAUUCCGAAGCACCA
rnacentral:tRNA from 1 species